GUGCCAGCAGCCGCGGUAAUACGUAGGGUGCAAGCGUUAAUCGGAAUUAUUGGGCGUAAAGGGUGCGCAGGCGGAUGUAUAAGUCAGAUGUGAAAUCCCCGGGCUUAACCUGGGAAUUGCGUUUGAAACUAUAUGACUAGAGUGUGAUAGAGGGGAGUGGAAUUCCAUGUGUAGCAGUGAAAUGCGUAGAGAUGUGGAAGAACACCGAUGGCGAAGGCAGCUCCCUGGAUUAACACUGACGCUCAUGCACGAAAGCGUGGGGAGCAAACAGGAUUAGAUACCCCCGUAGUCC
rnacentral:rRNA from 1 species